rnacentral:rRNA from 1 species
UCCGUAGGCGGGCAGCUCAGUCAGUGGUGAAAGUUUGCAGCUCAACUGUAAAAUUGCCAUUGAUACUGGUUGUCUUGAAUUAAUGUGAAAUGGUUAGAAUAUGUAGUGUAGCGGUGAAAUGCAUAGAUAUUACAUGGAAUACCAAUUGCGAAGGCAGAUCACUAACAUUAUAUUGACGCUGAUGGACGAAAGCGUGGGGAGCGAACAGGAUUAGAUACCCUGGUAGUCC